rnacentral:rRNA from 1 species
UACGGAGGGUGCAAGCGUUGUCCGGAUUUAUUGGGUUUAAAGGGUGCGUAGGCGGCUUUUUAAGUCAGCGGUGAAAUACUUCGGCUCAACCGAGGAACUGCCGUUGAUACUGGAAGGCUUGAGUACUGAUGAAGUGGGCAGAAUUGAAGGUGUAGCGGUGAAAUGCAUAGAUAUCUUCAAGAAUACCGAUUGCGAAGGCAGCUCACUAAGGAGUAACUGACGCUGAGGCACGAAAGCGUGGGUAGCAAACAGG